rnacentral:rRNA from 1 species
GGCCUUUUGAUUAUAAUUUAAGGUCGAGCCUGCCCAAUGAGUAGUUAAAUGGCUGCGGUAAUUUGACCGUGCAAAGGUAGCAUAAUCAUUAGUUUUUUAAUUGAAAGCUGGAAUGAAAGGUUUGAUGAGAAAAUAACUGUCUCUAGUUAAAUUAGUUAGAAUUUUAUUUUUAAGUAAAAAAGCUUAAAUUUGUAUAGAAGACGAGAAGACCCUAUAGAGUUUUAUAUAAGUUUAUAUUUAUUAUUUUUAGGAUUAGUAUUUAAAUGUAAACUUAUAUUUAGUUGGGGUGAUUGAAAAAUUAAAAAAACUUUUUUUGUAAAGGAACAUUUAUUUAUGAGUAGUUGAUCCAAAAUUUUUGAUUAGAAGAAUAAAUUACCUUAGGGAUAACAGCGUAAUUUUUUUUUAGAGAUCUAAUCGAAAAAAAAGAUUGCGACCUCGAUGUUGGAUUAAAAUAAAGGGUUGGUGUAGGAGCUAACCUAUUAGGUCUGUUCGACCUUUAAAAUUUUACAUGAUCUGAGUUUAAACCGGCGUAAGCCAGG